AAAAUUUAAAAAGCGCCUGGGCUUAAAGUGUAUACUUUAAGCUGACGAGGACAGGGUUUAUCGAGUUAUCGGCGGGUGCCCUGCGGUUUCCUGCGACCGAUAAAGGACUGGUAAAACCACAGGCGACUGUGGCAUAGAGCAGUCUGGGCAGGGAG
rnacentral:ncRNA from 22 species